rnacentral:rRNA from 1 species
UACGAGGGGGGCUAGCGUUGCUCGGAAUCACUGGGCGUAAAGCGCACGUAGGCGGGUUCUUAAGUCGGUGGUGAAAUCCUGGAGCUCAACUCCAGAACUGCCUUCGAUACUGGGAAUCUUGAGUCCGGGAGAGGUGAGUGGAACUGCGAGUGUAGAGGUGAAAUUCGUAGAUAUUCGGAGGAACACCAGUGGCGAAGGCGGCUCACUGGCCCGGUACUGACGCUCAUGUGCGAAAGCGUGGGGAGCAAACAGG